rnacentral:sRNA from 1 species
AUGUACCACUCGUACACUCCGGUUCCUGUGCGCCGUCCGCACCCACCUGACGACUGCUUAAAUCCGGUGUCGUCC